UUGAAGAGUUUGAUCAUGGCUCAGAUUGAACGCUGGCGGCAGGCCUAACACAUGCAAGUCGAACGGUAACAGGAAACAGCUUGCUGUUUCGCUGACGAGUGGCGGACGGGUGAGUAAUGUCUGGGAAACUGCCUGAUGGAGGGGGAUAACUACUGGAAACGGUAGCUAAUACCGCAUAACGUCGCAAGACCAAAGAGGGGGACCUUCGGGCCUCUUGCCAUCGGAUGUGCCCAGAUGGGAUUAGCUAGUAGGUGGGGUAACGGCUCACCUAGGCGACGAUCCCUAGCUGGUCUGAGAGGAUGACCAGCCACACUGGAACUGAGACACGGUCCAGACUCCUACGGGAGGCAGCAGUGGGGAAUAUUGCACAAUGGGCGCAAGCCUGAUGCAGCCAUGCCGCGUGUAUGAAGAAGGCCUUCGGGUUGUAAAGUACUUUCAGCGGGGAGGAAGGGAGUAAAGUUAAUACCUUUGCUCAUUGACGUUACCCGCAGAAGAAGCACCGGCUAACUCCGUGCCAGCAGCCGCGGUAAUACGGAGGGUGCAAGCGUUAAUCGGAAUUACUGGGCGUAAAGCGCACGCAGGCGGUUUGUUAAGUCAGAUGUGAAAUCCCCGGGCUCAACCUGGGAACUGCAUCUGAUACUGGCAAGCUUGAGUCUCGUAGAGGGGGGUAGAAUUCCAGGUGUAGCGGUGAAAUGCGUAGAGAUCUGGAGGAAUACCGGUGGCGAAGGCGGCCCCCUGGACGAAGACUGACGCUCAGGUGCGAAAGCGUGGGGAGCAAACAGGAUUAGAUACCCUGGUAGUCCACGCCGUAAACGAUGUCGACUUGGAGGUUGUGCCCUUGAGGCGUGGCUUCCGGAGCUAACGCGUUAAGUCGACCGCCUGGGGAGUACGGCCGCAAGGUUAAAACUCAAAUGAAUUGACGGGGGCCCGCACAAGCGGUGGAGCAUGUGGUUUAAUUCGAUGCAACGCGAAGAACCUUACCUGGUCUUGACAUCCACGGAAGUUUUCAGAGAUGAGAAUGUGCCUUCGGGAACCGUGAGACAGGUGCUGCAUGGCUGUCGUCAGCUCGUGUUGUGAAAUGUUGGGUUAAGUCCCGCAACGAGCGCAACCCUUAUCCUUUGUUGCCAGCGGUCCGGCCGGGAACUCAAAGGAGACUGCCAGUGAUAAACUGGAGGAAGGUGGGGAUGACGUCAAGUCAUCAUGGCCCUUACGACCAGGGCUACACACGUGCUACAAUGGCGCAUACAAAGAGAAGCGACCUCGCGAGAGCAAGCGGACCUCAUAAAGUGCGUCGUAGUCCGGAUUGGAGUCUGCAACUCGACUCCAUGAAGUCGGAAUCGCUAGUAAUCGUGGAUCAGAAUGCCACGGUGAAUACGUUCCCGGGCCUUGUACACACCGCCCGUCACACCAUGGGAGUGGGUUGCAAAAGAAGUAGGUAGCUUAACCUUCGGGAGGGCGCUUACCACUUUGUGAUUCAUGACUGGGGUGAAGUCGUAACAAGGUAACCGUAGGGGAACCUGCGGUUGGAUCACCUCCUU
rnacentral:rRNA from 2 species